rnacentral:pre_miRNA from 1 species
ACAACAUUUGGACCGUCGGUCUACCGAGCAAUAUCACCCGCUCGGUGGAAGAUCUUCUCUCCGUCAU